AUGCGCCGCGGCGGCGGCGGCGGCCUGGAUAGCCCCGCCCCCUGCCGCCGCGCGU
rnacentral:pre_miRNA from 1 species